rnacentral:rRNA from 1 species
AACCAGUACCUCAAGUGGUCAGGAUGAUUAUUGGGCCUAAAGCAUCCGUAGUCGGCUCUGUAAGUUUUCGGUUAAAUCUAUGCGCUCAACGUAUGGGCUGCCGAAAAUACUGUAGAGAUAGGGAGUGGGAGAGGUAGACGGUACUCGGUAGGAAGGGGUAAAAUCCUUUGAUCUAUCGAUGACCACCUGUGGCGAAGGCGGUCUACCAGAACACGUUCGACGGUGAGGGAUGAAAGCUGGGAGCAAAUCGG